rnacentral:rRNA from 1 species
AUGCAGCUGAAGUANUUCUCUCUCAGGCUCAGGAAGUGUCGGUUCGGCCUGCUGGCCUCCNGAAACCGUUAGGUGCCGGGGGUUGGACGACUGGCCGACUAAUCUGCACUCCUGGGGAGAGCUGGCCAACAACAGUUGCCACUGGCUCACAAGGGCGGUUGGGCAGGUAGCCUCCUCUUCGAGGUGGAACUUACAGCCAUCCGUCUGGCAGUCCGGGGGCGACUGAGGAGAGUUUGCGAACUUUCGCACNUGCGGUGUAGGCCCUCCGGGGCCGGGCCGCCUCUGUCCGUUUGGGUACCGNGCUGGUGACUGCUUGCAGUGUCCAGUGACGAAUGCCUGCUCGGGUGGGGGGCCGGUCACGCCAUGCGCCGCAGUUGUUGGUGUCCAAAUGGCUGCAUCCGACCCGUCUG